rnacentral:lncRNA from 1 species
CCUACUUAGCCCAGCAGUUCUUAUCUUUCUUAACCUACUUGAUGAAGAGGUCUUUUGAAAGUUGUACUGCAAGGGAUGCAAUGCUGUCUGUAGAUUAACGCUUUUACAAAGGCAUGUAUUUCAAUACCACCACCGCCUCCCCUCCUAAGGUGAGAACUGACUAUUCCAUGUGUACCUAGACCAUGUGGAGAAAGGACUGAGACUGAAAACAGAAAACAGACAUUGUCUGUAUAGAGCAGAGUGCCUGACAACAGCUCACUCUAGCAAAGGGCAACAAAUGCCACACCAGAUGAUCUCUCAUCACAAAACUUUACAUCUGACUUACAUGCCUGGUCUGAUGACUUCUUUUUAUGACUCCUAAAUUGUGG